rnacentral:rRNA from 1 species
UUAUGGUGGGCACUCUAAGGAGACUGCCGGUGACAAACCGGAGGAAGGUGGGGAUGACGUCAAGUCAUCAUGGCCCUUACGGCCUGGGCUACACACGUGCUACAAUGGUCGGUACAAAGGGUUGCCAAGCCGCGAGGUGGAGCUAAUCCCAUAAAAACCGAUCGUAGUCCGGAUCGCAGUCUGCAACUCGACUGCGUGAAGUCGGAAUCGCUAGUAAUCGUGAAUCAGAAUGUCACGGUGAAUACGUUCCCGGGCCUU